rnacentral:rRNA from 1 species
UACAGAGGGUGCGAGCGUUAAUCGGAAUUAUUGGGCGUAAAGGGAGCGUAGGCGGAUGUGCAAGUGGUAGGUGAAAUACCCGGGCUUAACCUGGGGAGGUCCUAUCAGACUGCACGUCUAGAGUAUGGUAGAGGAAGGUGGAAUUCCUGGUGUAGCGGUGAAAUGCGUAGAUAUCAGGAAGAACAGCGAUGGCGAAGGCAGCCUUCUGGGCCAUUACUGACGCUGAGGCUCGAAAGCGUGGGGAGCGAACAGG